rnacentral:rRNA from 1 species
GUCCACGCCGUAAACGAUGAGUACUAAGUGUUGGGGGUCAAACCUCAGUGCUGCAGUUAACGCAAUAAGUACUCCGCCUGAGUAGUACGUUCGCAAGAAUGAAACUCAAAGGAAUUGACGGGGGCCCGCACAAGCGGUGGAGCAUGUGGUUUAAUUCGAAGCAACGCGAAGAACCUUACCAGGUCUUGACAUCGAUCUAAAGGCUCCAGAGAUGGAGAGAUAGCUAUAGAGAAGACAGGUGGUGCAUGGUUGUCGU